AAUUUUCAGCGAUGGAUGUCUUGGCUCGCGCAACGAUGAAGGACGCAGUGAAAUGCGAAACGCAAUGUGAAUUGCAGAAUUCAGUGAAUCAUC
rnacentral:rRNA from 1 species